AUUGAACGCUGGCGGCAGGCCUAACACAUGCAAGUCGAACGAGUGGCGGACGGGUGAGUAAUGUCUGGGAAACUGCCUGAUGGAGGGGGAUAACUACUGGAAACGGUAGCUAAUACCGCAUACCAUCGGAUGUGCCCAGAUGUGAUUAGCUGUUGGGUGGGGUAAUGGCUCACCUAGGCGACGAUCCCGAGCUGGUCUGAGAGGAUGACCAGCCAACCUGGAACUGAGACACGCUCCAGACCCCUACGGGAGGAGGCAGUGGGGAAUAUUGCAAAAGGGGCGCAAGCCGGAUGCAGCCAUGCCGCGUGUGGGAAGAAGGCCUUCGGGUUGUAAAGCACGUUCAGCGGGGAGGCGGUACCCGCAGAAGAAGCACCGGCUAACUCCGUGCCAGCAGCCGCGGUAAUAC
rnacentral:rRNA from 1 species